AUGGUUUCUGCUGAAAAUAAACCAAAGAAGAAAAGAAAAGAUGAAAAGAAAAACCUUUGCAGUGCCUGGGAGGGCUUCAAUGCUGAUAAUGGCCCGAACGAUGAUAAUAUGUUUUAUGGAUGCCAGAAGCCUAAACAGCAGGUUAAGCAGAAAUGUAGAUAUCUGGAUGAGAAGAACAUUAUGUUGUCACAUCAUUUAUUAAGUGAGCCCUGGUCCACUAGCUCAGAGGGGAGUGAUGUGGCAGAAAAAUUACCCCCAGGAUGGGAUGCAUCUCAAGAUAAUACUCUCUCCACUAAAUCUCCUGUGGCCCUCCCAGCAGAAGCUUGUUCUUUGAGCCAAAGCACUUUUGACACUGACUGUUUCCCAACAAAUAACAAUAUGUUCACUAACUUGAUAAUCCAUAAACGGAAAAUCAUUAAUGGUCUCAGCCCAGUGCGCACAAGCAGCUUAGAACUGCAACGAACCCUGCCGCUGAUACGAUGGGCUCCUGCUACCUCUCAAGUGCAGAUGACCGAGGAGCCAGUGGCCUGGCGAAGUAAAGGAUUUGUUACAGUGAACCGUGAAGCAAGGCCUGCUGAACUAACACAAAUCUGGAAAAGGGCACCUAGCAAGAAGCUGGAGUGGUGCCAAGAGAGCCUGGCCAGGUUGGCUCAUCUGCAAGCUCAGUCACCCAACAAUGCCUCGUUUGUGGCCAGAACCAGACCAGUGAUCCGGAGAGCAGCCGGGCUAACUGUGGGUCAUAGGAGGGUGCAGGUGCAGGACAGUCAUGUGGAACAGAACUUCUGUCAGAAAGCAGAGACUAAACGUACAGGUCUGCCAAAUGGCAGCGGGUCAGCCCCACUAGCACAGACACAUAAACAAGGCCUUUGGAGCUCAACCCAAACAGAGGCAAAACACAGCAGAGAACUGGGGCAACAAGAUGGUGGUCAUUUUCAUGGGGAACAAGGAACCAUUUCCAUGGGCUGCUCAAAUUUGAGCAGGCUGUCGGUAAGAAGCUGUUUGUUGCCAUACUUCUAUUGUCAAAUCAAAUGAUUAGAAUGACCAGCCACUUUGUAAUUUUAGCACUGUGUGAUUCAGUUUCUGUCAAUAGCAUGCUUCAGUUCAAAACAAAAAUGACAUAAAAAGCCACUCCUUCAAACAUUUCUUUAUGUGACACAAUGGGGCUGCAAGUCAUUGUUCUGCCCUGAAAACUGCUGAUGGAUUCUUCUAUAAAGGUAUUGAACUGUUUCAGGGACGAGUGAAAAUAGUUUUUUCCUACCAUAUACAGCCCACAUAUGGAGCCAUUGCUCAGAGGAACAUUUUCAGGUAGCUAUUUUUAGAUUGCAAGAAAGAGUGGGUCCCUUUUCCUUCAAAAUAUCUUACACUUCUAUCUAACAAUGUGUUUCUGUGACUCUGUAGAUGCCUGUGGUAAAUUAACAAUUAGCAUCCAUGGCAACCAAGUGUGUGUUACAGUUUGAAACAAUGCCAUUCUUGAAAAGCCUGGCACACUAAAUAUGCAUUGCACAAAACAAUUAGAAUGUUCAACAGAUAGAGAGACAGAGAUACACACCAUUCAAGUAACUCCUCCGAUCACAGUUUACUCACCGACUAUGAGAUUCCUGUGCUUGAAGAGCAACAGAAUAAUUUUUUUUUUGCUUAAAAAAAGACAAUAUAUACUGCACCAAGUAAAGAGACCAU
ensembl:lncRNA